rnacentral:rRNA from 1 species
GACGAACGCUGGCGGCGUGCUUAACACAUGCAAGUGGAGCGACGAACCGGGGCUUGCCCCGGGGCAGAGCCGCGAACGGGUGAGUAACACGUGGGUGUAUCUGCCCUGAUGAUCGGGACAACCCGUCGAAAGACGGGCUAAUACCGAAUGUGCCCGCAAGGGGAAAGGAGGCUUCGGCUUCCGCAUCGGGAUGAGCCCGCGGCCCAUUAGCUUGUUGGUGGGGUAAAGGCCUACCAAGGCGACGAUGGGUAGCUGGUCUGAGAGGACGAUCAGCCACACUGGGACUGAGACACGGCCCAGACUCCUACGGGAGGCAGCAGUGGGGAAUCUUGCGCAAUGCGCGAAAGCGUGACGCAGCAACGCCGCGUGCGGGAAGACGGCCUUCGGGUUGUAAACCGCUUUCAGUUGGGACGAAGGUCCGCCGGUUAAUACCCGGCUGGAUUGACGGUACCUUCAGAAGAAGCCCCGGCUAACUACGUGCCAGCCGCCGCAGU